GUUUACAGAUUGCUUAAAUGUAUUGGACAGAAUAUCGAGACACGUGGGAUAGCGCACGGUUAUAAAUACACAAUUUAUCGCGAAUAGCCAUGUUAACAUUUUUUCCUCUUUACCUAAAAGAAGCCAUUCGUAGGCUAACUGAAUUUUCAAACGCCAUCCUAAUGGACCAAUGGAUAGUUUAGUAAAACAAGUUCUCCGCAAGUUGUGUUACAAAUCCAAUAAUUUUAUACCAAAAUAGCUCAUCUCUAAUAAAUAUUCACCGUAGAAAGCAGCGGGUCCUCAUCGCAGCGCAAAAUAUUCCUCCCGCGGCAUCGUAUCAGUCGAGGCCACACACGCGCUCGGUAUCCUCGGGCUAAGGCUAACUCGCGAGUUCGCUGCACGCCUGGUCAAUAAGGAAUUUGCGAGCCGCGUUGCUGCAGCAGUCGCAGCUCGCGUAGACAAAAUAUCAGCAGAGCCUUGAACGCUAUACGGAUGAUCUCGGAAUGUACGCGGAAUCCGUUUACAGAGCCGAUUAUAGGUCGGUUUUGCAUUCGUCGUUUUAUAUUUCGCCCGUUCCACCCUCGACGAGUGUAUAUUCGACGUUUCGGUUGACGGCCUGCUCGAGUUUCAGAGCGAAACGUUUUGAGUUGUCGGGCCGAGCAUAACGUCGCCUGCACUUUCGAUAGCCUGCUUCGAAUGACGGAUUUCGAAUGGAAUUCGAUUGGCGAGUUUCCGAACCCCACGAAUGCGUUCAACUACGGCAUAAAUAUUAUCGUUCGAACUUAAUGAAAAAAUCUUUAUCCUUUAUACUCAAGUGGCUGUUGAAUGUGAGGCAUAUUCGCUGACGGAAAGAUUAUCAAUGAAGUUUGAUCGUUCGAUAAACAUAUAGCAGCAAGACAAGACACCGAAGAGUCACGUUCUUCAAACCGUCGACGGACGAGUUUUGAUUAGCUAGAUCAAUUCUCAUCCGAAGCCUUUUUCAUCGAUCACAGCUCCGCAGAGUAAAUAAAUAUACGUCUCCAUCCCAAGUGCUUACGUUUAUGCCAACGUAGUCACUGCGCGAUCGAGUGACAAGCGUCGUUCUCUAUCGAAUUACACACACACAUGCCAGAGUUCAACGAACACGCCGAAGAAUAAUUAAUUUAAAAACAAUAAAAGACUCAACCGACAAAA